AUUGAACGCUGGCGGCAUGCCUUACACAUGCAAGUCGAACGGUAACAGGUCUUCGGAUGCUGACGAGUGGCGAACGGGUGAGUAAUACAUCGGAACGUGCCUAGUAGUGGGGGAUAACUACUCGAAAGAGUGGCUAAUACCGCAUGAGAUCUACGGAUGAAAGCAGGGGAUCGCAAGACCUUGUGCUACUAGAGCGGCCGAUGGAAGAUUAGGUAGUUGGUGGGAUAAAAGCUUACCAAGCCGACGAUCUGUAGCUGGUCUGAGAGGACGGUCAGCCACACUGGGACUGAGACACGGCCGAGACUCCGACGGGAGGCAGCAGUGGGGAAUUUUGGACAAUGGGCGAAAGCCUGAUUCAGCAAUGCCGCGUGCAGGAUGAAGGCCUUCGGGUUGUAAACUACUUUUGUACGGAACGAAAAGCCCCGGGUUAAUACCCUGGGGUCAUGACGGUACCGUAAGAAUAAGCACCGGCUAACUACGUGCCAGCAGCCGCAGUAA
rnacentral:rRNA from 1 species